CUGAGGUUUUUUUGUUUUUUUCUGUCUUUUUUUUUUUCCCCUUAAGUCAGUUUGGACUUUUCUUCCAGGCAGCAUUUUGGAGGGGGGAAGGCUGUACUAUAUAUUUAUUUCUAAAUGUUUUGACAGAGACUUCAUCUUUUAAUGAAAUAUAUAUAGACUGCAGUAGCAAUUAAAACCCAUUUUCAGGCUACUGUUUGAAUUUCUUUUGAACACUAUCACGGAAGAGUUCUAUCUUAUUAUAUACUUAAUAAAGUCUUGUCUCCAUAUAGUAUUUAGUUUCGUGUGGUCAUGAUCAAGGUGGUAAUUCUUAUUAUUACACAAGAAACUUGGUCUGCAGUCCAAAAACCAGUCUACUCUCUGUAGAAAUGAAAAUGUAGUGUGGAGUUAUCAUUGUGGAAGUGAAAAUAAUUGGAUGUUAGAAAUCUGAAUGUACUAUCAUCUAAAAGCAGUUGUGAUUUUAUUGUAAUUGGUUGUCACUGUGAUGCGAUAUCUAGAAUUAAAGAAUACAUGUAAACUUU